GUAGUCAGUAAGUGUUGAAGGAAAUGUAGCUCGCGGCUAGAAGUAAGAAUCAGUGUAGGAUCCUUCGGUCUAAGUCAAUGUUGGGCUCAGGACCUCUCUUGGAUCGAUGUCUGGCGUUCGAAUAUCAUCUUAGAGUCGGUGGUUAAGAAUCUGCGAGUGGAGCUAUGAUGGACAACCAAAGCCAAGUUUAGUAGCUAAAUCUAGGGUGGGUGGCCGAAAUCAGGAUCGAUCGGAUCUUCUACCAACCGUCACAG
rnacentral:lncRNA from 1 species